rnacentral:rRNA from 1 species
AGUGAACGCUGGCGGUAGGCCUAACACAUGCAAGUCGAACGGCAGCACAGUAAGAGCUUGCUCUUACGGGUGGCGAGUGGCGGACGGGUGAGGAAUACAUCGGAAUCUACUUUUUCGUGGGGGAUAACGUAGGGAAACUUACGCUAAUACCGCAUACGACCUACGGGUGAAAGCAGGGGAUCUUUGGACCUUGCGCGAUUGAAUGAGCCGAUGUCGGAUUAGCUAGUUGGCGGGGUAAAGGCCCACCAAGGCGACGAUCCGUAGCUGGUCUGAGAGGAUGAUCAGCCACACUGGAACUGAGACACGGUCCAGACUCCUACGGGAGGCAGCAGUGGGGAAUAUUGGACAAGGGGCGCAAGCCUGAUCCAGCCAUACCGCGUGGGUGAAGAAGGCCUUCGGGUUGUAAAGCCCUUUUGUUGGGAAAGAAAAGCAGCAGGUUAAUACCCCGCUGUUCUGACGGUACCCAAAGAAUAAGCACCGGCUAACUUCGU